AAAUGCCACAACAUUGACCCUUUAAACCAAUAAUAUAAAAUGUAAAAUCUUCAGGUUGGUUCAAGGAAGCUGUUAGCAUCGCGUAUUUCUCCAUAACGUUUUUUUUUUUUCUUAACUUAAAACGUGCUUCUGAAAGAUUUGUAUUCAAAAUAAUUUUUAUGCGUGUACUUAAGAAAACUCAUUCGAUAUAUUCCAUUUGCAUCACCGUGGUUUUUCCAGGAUAGGCUAUAGUGCAAUUUGAAACCAAAUAUCUGACCAAAAAUAUCCCUGCCUGUGAAUGGCUGGCUCUCCAACUGAAGCACUCAUAAAAAGUUAUAACAACAAACACACUGUAAAAAAAGUACAUGGAUUUCAAUGCUACAUGUUGUCAGAUUUGACACAUUGAGUGUUACCUGCUGCCUCCAACUCUGACUCAACCACACAAGACAGUGGGCUCCAUUUUAUACUGGACCCAGGAAUGCUUAUGAUGCCACACCAUGUCUUCUGGGGAGCACUUCCGGGCCAUAAGGAAAGUAGAAAGGUCUUCAACUGACAUAGUCUACUGGUAUGAAGGCACCCUGACAGGGCUACAUUUCUGGACUUCAUAUUCCAAGAACCCCUGUGGAUUUUCCAACUGUGUUCUGCUGUGAGGACCACUGCCACCUAUCAUAUAGGGGAUGGAAUUGCUCUUGACUCCCUACUAUCACUCACUGAUCCUUCCAUUAUUUGAUACCAGCUGGAAACAAAGUUAUUUUUUUGUUCUGCCAUCCAAUCCAUUGGUCAUUCUUUUCUGGCCUCCUGUCCGGGUACGGAAUCACCUCCUUUCCCGGCUGGGAUGACUGUCCUCCUUCUGCACUAUCUAUCUAUUUAGGACUAAUUUAGAUAGAUAGAUAGUUAAGGAAAACUGCAGUUAUUCAUUUUAUUUAAUUUUUUAUAGGUUUAAAUAGGCAUUAUUGUUGUAAGUGCAAGAGUAGAAUUUUCAGUUCAACUGAACCAAAAAUGAUUUUUUCAUUGGCAUUAAGUAAUCAUUUAAAUUUUUAGCAUUGCUUCUUAAAUUGAGUAUUAAACUCAAUAUUAUUAUUCAAAGUAUUUUCUAGGAUCGUCCUUUUGAAGCCUCCUACUGUAUAUCAGGCCUAGAUCAAGACACAGGGCAAUUUUUAUGUUAUUUUUUAAUAUGUGUAAUAGUUUUAGGGGAUUGUGUUUGUGUUAAGGGAUUUUCUCACUCUGUGACAUGUAUUUAAAAUGGCUGCUUUCUUAAGUUUUACAAAUAUGCAUUGGUUUGUAAAGUAUGUAAUGUUGGCAGACUUUUGUGUAGUGUAUGUGUGAUGAUACCAGUAAUAGAUACAACAAUGGGCACAAUAAUCACUUUGUCCAUUUUCUCUACAAGCUGCAUAUU